GGGAAAUGACAUAAUCUCGUAUUUAUUUAAAUAUCCAACUUCCCACCUAACUGCUGCUGAAGCUAGACAGGUGGAAACACUUAUCACCACACUAACAUUAUUUAAACCCAAGUUGGUGGCGUCGAAUAUUUUUCACGUUGAAACCAGUCUUAUAGCUUCGAUUAUGGGGACGGUCACCACAUAUGUCUUAGUUGCUUUGCAGUUUCAACAAUCUUCAGCUAAGUAAUAAGCUAGUAACUCAAUAUCUUAUAGUAAAAAUAUAAGCUUGAUAUUAAAU